UACAGAGGUCUCAAGCGUUGUUCGGAUUCAUUGGGCGUAAAGGGUGUCGUAGGCGGCGCCGGUAAGUCGGGUGUGAAAUUCGUGGCUUAACUCCGAAACUGCAUUCGAUACUGCCGUGCUUGAGGACUGGAGAGGAGACUGGAAUUUAGGUGUAGCAGGUGAAAUGCGUAGAUAUCGUAAGGAAGACCAGUGGCGAAGGCGGUCUGCUGGGCCGUUGCUGACGCUGAGGCGCGACAGCGUGGGGAGCAA
rnacentral:rRNA from 1 species